AACUGUUGGAAACGACAGCUAAUACUCCAUAAGCUGGGAAACCAGGAAAGAUUUAUCGCCAAAGGAGGAGCCCGCGUCAGAUUAGGUAGUUGGUGGGGUAAAGGCCUACCAGGCCUGUGAUCUGUAGCUGGUCUGAGAGGAUGACCAGCCACACUGGGACUGAGACACGGCCCAGACUCCUACGGGAGGCAGCAGUGGGGAAUAUUGGACAAUGGGCGCAAGCCUGAUCCAGCGACGCCGCGUGAGUGAUGAAGGCCUUAGGGUUGUAAAGCUCUUUUAGUGGGGAAGAUAAUGACGGUACCCACAGAAAAAGCCCCGGCUAACUUCGUGCCAG
rnacentral:rRNA from 1 species